rnacentral:rRNA from 1 species
GAUGAACGCUGGCGGCGUGCUUAACACAUGCAAGUCGAACGGAAAGGCCCAAGCUUGCUUGGGUACUCGAGUGGCGAACGGGUGAGUAACACGUGGGUGAUCUGCCCUGCACUUCGGGAUAAGCCUGGGAAACUGGGCCUAAUACCGGAUAGGACCACAUUUUGGAUGGUGUGGUGGAAAGUUUUUCGGUGUGGGAUGAGCUCGCGGCCUAUCAGCUUGUUGGUGGGGUAAUGGCCUACCAAGGCGUCGACGGGUAGCCGGCCUGAGAGGGUGUACGGCCACAUUGGGACUGAGAUACGGCCCAGACUCCUACGGGAGGCAGCAGUGGGGAAUAUUGCACAAUGGGCGCAAGCCUGAUGCAGCGACGCCGCGUGGGGGAUGACGGCCUUCGGGUUGUAAACUCCUUUCGCUAGGGACGAAGCGUUAUGUGACGGUACCUGGAGAAGAAGCACCGGCUAACUACGUG